rnacentral:lncRNA from 1 species
ACAACUAUCAAGGCUAGUAAAGGAAAUGAAGAUAGCGGUAAUUCAAAGAGAGUGCUUAUUGGAACCACGGUUGGUGUAAGCGUGGUCCUUUGCCUUACCACUAUAGUUGUCGCAAUUGUUGUCAUCAAAACAGGGUGGAUGAAAACACAGAAACAAGUAUCAGCAAGUAAAAUCGCCCAGCCUCACAUAGACCACAUAGACUGCUAUAAUAAACCUCCAGUUUAAUCGAAAAACUAGCAAAUACACGAUUUGUUAAAGGAUAUUUACUUAAAAUAGUCCUUACAUGCUUAUCACGUGACUGUGUUUUUUGCUAUACAUGUAUUCAAAAAUUCCAAAACAUCCAAAACAUAUACUUUCAUAUGUCGGUAAAAAGCUAUACAUAGCUUAUGUUUUCUGUUUAUAUAUGUACCGACUUUAAAUAAAAUUUGUAUUGUAUUGUAUUGCAUUUUAUCACAAACUAAACCAUUUUGUAAACAGUUCUUUUGCAACUAUUCAAGAACAUUGUGUAUUGAUCAUUAGUUUCUAGAAAUGCUCUGUUUCAAUAUACAAUUUUCAGUCCAGAACGUCCAUCUUUCUGUAUACAUGAAACUGUAUACAUCAUCUUUUGUAUUACA